GGGUUGUGAGGUUAAGCGACUAAGCGUACACGGUGGAUGCCUAGGCAGUCAGAGGCGAUGAAGGGCGUGCUAAUCUGCGAAAAGCGUCGGUAAGGUGAUAUGAACCGUUACAACCGACGAUACCCGAAUGGGGAAACCCAGUGCAAUUCGUUGCACUAUUGCAUGGUGAAUACAUAGCCAUGCAAGGCGAACCGGGGGAACUGAAACAUCUAAGUACCCCGAGGAAAAGAAAUCAACCGAGAUUCCCCUAGUAGCGGCGAGCGAACGGGGAGGAGCCCAGAGUCUGAAUCAGUUUGUGUGUUAGUGGAAGCGUCUGGAAAGUCGCACGGUACAGGGUGAUAGUCCCGUACACAAAAACACACUUGCUGUGAACUCGAUGAGUAGGGCGGGACACGUGACAUCCUGUCUGAAUAUGGGGGGACCAUCCUCCAAGGCUAAAUACUCCUGACUGACCGAUAGUGAACCAGUACCGUGAGGGAAAGGCGAAAAGAACCCCGGCGAGGGGAGUGAAAUAGAACCUGAAACCGUGUACGUACAAGCAGUGGGAGCACCUUCGUGGUGUGACUGCGUACCUUUUGUAUAAUGGGUCAGCGACUUAUAUUUUGUAGCAAGGUUAACCGAAUAGGGGAGCCGUAGGGAAACCGAGUCUUAACUGGGCGUCUAGUUGCAAGGUAUAGACCCGAAACCCGGUGAUCUAGCCAUGGGCAGGUUGAAGGUUGGGUAACACUAACUGGAGGACCGAACCGACUAAUGUUGAAAAAUUAGCGGAUGACUUGUGGCUGGGGGUGAAAGGCCAAUCAAACCGGGAGAUAGCUGGUUCUCCCCGAAAGCUAUUUAGGUAGCGCCUCGUGAACUCAUCUUCGGGGGUAGAGCACUGUUUCGGCUAGGGGGUCAUCCCGACUUACCAAACCGAUGCAAACUCCGAAUACCGAAGAAUGUUAUCACGGGAGACACACGGCGGGUGCUAACGUCCGUCGUGAAGAGGGAAACAACCCAGACCGCCAGCUAAGGUCCCAAAGUCAUGGUUAAGUGGGAAACGAUGUGGGAAGGCAUAGACAGCCAGGAUGUUGGCUUAGAAGCAGCCAUCAUUUAAAGAAAGCGUAAUAGCUCACUGGUCGAGUCGGCCUGCGCGGAAGAUGUAACGGGGCUAAACCAUGCACCGAAGCUGCGGCAGCGACACUUAGGUGUUGUUGGGUAGGGGAGCGUUCUGUAAGCCGUUGAAGGUGACCUGUGAGGGUUGCUGGAGGUAUCAGAAGUGCGAAUGCUGACAUAAGUAACGAUAAUGCGGGUGAAAAACCCGCACGCCGGAAGACCAAGGGUUCCUGUCCAACGUUAAUCGGGGCAGGGUGAGUCGACCCCUAAGGCGAGGCUGAAAAGCGUAGUCGAUGGGAAACAGGUUAAUAUUCCUGUACUUGGUGUUACUGCGAAGGGGGGACGGAGAAGGCUAGGCUAGCCGGGCGACGGUUGUCCCGGUUUAAGCAUGUAGGCGGAGCGACUUGGUAAAUCCGGUUGCUUAUCAACGCUGAGGUGUGAUGACGAGUCACUACGGUGAUGAAGUAGUUGAUGCCAAGCUUCCAGGAAAAGCCUCUAAGCAUCAGGUAACAUUAAAUCGUACCCCAAACCGACACAGGUGGUCAGGUAGAGAAUACUCAGGCGCUUGAGAGAACUCGGGUGAAGGAACUAGGCAAAAUGGUGCCGUAACUUCGGGAGAAGGCACGCUGGCAUUAGGUAAAGGGACUUGCUCCCGGCGCCGAAGCCAGUCGCAGAUACCAGCUGGCUGCAACUGUUUAAUAAAAACACAGCACUGUGCAAACACGAAAGUGGACGUAUACGGUGUGACGCCUGCCCGGUGCUGGAAGGUUAAUUGAUGGGGUCAGCCGCAAGGCGAAGCUCUUGAUCGAAGCCCCAGUAAACGGCGGCCGUAACUAUAACGGUCCUAAGGUAGCGAAAUUCCUUGUCGGGUAAGUUCCGACCUGCACGAAUGGCGUAAUGAUGGCCAGGCUGUCUCCACCCGAGACUCAGUGAAAUUGAACUCGCUGUGAAGAUGCAGUGUACCCGCGGCAAGACGGAAAGACCCCGUGAACCUUUACUAUAGCUUGACACUGAACAUUGAGCCUUGAUGUGUAGGAUAGGUGGGAGGCAUUGAAGUGUGGACGCCAGUCUGCAUGGAGCCAACCUUGAAAUACCACCCUUUAAUGUUUGAUGUUCUAACUCGGCCCCGUGAUCCGGGGUGAGGACAGUGUCUGGUGGGUAGUUUGACUGGGGCGGUCUCCUCCCAAAGAGUAACGGAGGAGCACGAAGGUUAGCUAAUCACGGUCGGACAUCGUGAGGUUAGUGCAAAGGCAUAAGCUAGCUUGACUGCGAGAGUGACGGCUCGAGCAGGUACGAAAGUAGGUCUUAGUGAUCCGGUGGUUCUGAAUGGAAGGGCCAUCGCUCAACGGAUAAAAGGUACUCCGGGGAUAACAGGCUGAUACCGCCCAAGAGUUCAUAUCGACGGCGGUGUUUGGCACCUCGAUGUCGGCUCAUCACAUCCUGGGGCUGAAGUAGGUCCCAAGGGUAUGGCUGUUCGCCAUUUAAAGUGGUACGCGAGCUGGGUUUAGAACGUCGUGAGACAGUUCGGUCCCUAUCUGCCGUGGGCGUUGGAAGAUUGAGAGGGGCUGCUCCUAGUACGAGAGGACCGGAGUGGACGAAUCACUGGUGUUCGGGUUGUCAUGCCAAUGGCAUUGCCCGGUAGCUAAAUUCGGAAGAGAUAACCGCUGAAAGCAUCUAAGCGGGAAACUUGCCUCGAGAUGAGUCUUCCCUGGGGCUUUAAGCCCCCUGAAGGAACGUUAAAGACUAUGACGUUGAUAGGCUGGGUGUGUAAGUGCAGCGAUGCAUUGAGCUAACCAGUACUAAUGAUCCGUGAGGCUUAACCUUACAACACCAAAGGUGUUUUG
rnacentral:rRNA from 1 species